rnacentral:rRNA from 1 species
GAUGAACGCUGGCGGCGUGCCUAAUACAUGCAAGUCGAGCGAACAGACGAGGAGCUUGCUCCUCUUACGUUAGCGGCGGACGGGUGAGUAACACGUGGAUAACCUACCUAUAAGACUGGGAUAACUUCGGGAAACCGGAGCUAAUACCGGAUAAUAUAUUGAACCGCAUGGUUCAAUAGUGAAAGACGGUUUUGCUGUCACUUAUAGAUGGAUCCGCGCCGCAUUAGCUAGUUGGUAAGGUAACGGCUUACCAAGGCAACGAUGCGUAGCCGACCUGAGAGGGUGAUCGGCCACACUGGAACUGAGACACGGUCCAGACUCCUAAGGGAGGCAGCAGUAGGGAAUCUUCCGCAAUGGGCGAAAGCCUGACGGAGCAAAGCCGCGUGAGUGAUGAAGGUCUUCGGAUCGUAAAACUCUGUUAUUAGGGAAGAACAAAUGUGUAAGUAACUAUGCACGUCUUGACGGUAACUAAUCAGAAAGCAACGGCUAACUACGUG